CGGCCCAGACUCCUACGGGAGGCAGCAGUAGGGAAUCUUCCGCAAUGGACGAAAGUCUGACGGAGCAACGCCGCGUGAGUGAUGAAGGUUUUCGGAUCGUAAAGCUCUGUUGUUAGGGAAGAACAAGUACCGUUCGAAUAGGGCGGUACCUUGACGGUACCUAACCAGAAAGCCACGGCUAACUACGUGCCAGCAGCCGCGGUAAUACGUAGGUGGCAAGCGUUGUCCGGAAUUAUUGGGCGUAAAGGGCUCGCAGGCGGUUUCUUAAGUCUGAUGUGAAAGCCCCCGGCUCAACCGGGGAGGGUCAUUGGAAACUGGGGAACUUGAGUGCAGAAGAGGAGAGUGGAAUUCCACGUGUAGCGGUGAAAUGCGUAGAGAUGUGGAGGAACACCAGUGGCGAAGGCGACUCUCUGGUCUGUAACUGACGCUGAGGAGCGAAAGCGUGGGGAGCGAACAGGAUUAGAUACCCUGGUAGUCCACGCCGUAAACGAUGAGUGCUAAGUGUUAGGGGGUUUCCGCCCCUUAGUGCUGCAGCUAACGCAUUAAGCACUCCGCCUGGGGAGUACGGUCGCAAGACUGAAACUCAAAGGAAUUGACGGGGGCCCGCACAAGCGGUGGAGCAUGUGGUUUAAUUCGAAGCAACGCGAAGAACCUUACCAGGUCUUGACAUCCUCUGACAAUCCUAGAGAUAGGACGUCCCCUUCGGGGGCAGAGUGACAGGUGGUGCAUGGUUGUCGUCAGCUCGUGUCGUGAGAUGUUGGGUUAAGUCCCGCAACGAGCGCAACCCUUGAUCUUAGUUGCCAGCAUUCAGUUGGGCACUCUAAGGUGACUGCCGGUGACAAACCGGAGGAAGGUGGGGAUGACGUCAAAUCAUCAUGCCCCUUAUGACCUGGGCUACACACGUGCUACAAUGGACAGAACAAAGGGCAGCGAAACCGCGAGGU
rnacentral:rRNA from 1 species